GGUGCGAACGGACGAUAGUCUUCAGCGGCCGUGCAUUUGAUAGACUUGGUCGGUGGGACUUUCGUCCGUUUGUAAC
rnacentral:pre_miRNA from 1 species